GGUUAAGCGACUAAGCGUACACGGUGGAUGCCCUGGCAGUCAGAGGCGAUGAAGGACGUGCUAAUCUGCGAUAAGCGUCGGUAAGGUGAUAUGAACCGUUAUAACCGGCGAUUUCCGAAUGGGGAAACCCAGUGUGUUUCGACACACUAUCAUUAACUGAAUCCAUAGGUUAAUGAGGCGAACCGGGGGAACUGAAACAUCUAAGUACCCCGAGGAAAAGAAAUCAACCGAGAUUCCCCCAGUAGCGGCGAGCGAACGGGGAGCAGCCCAGAGCCUGAAUCAGUGUGUGUGUUAGUGGAAGCGUCUGGAAAGGCGCGCGAUACAGGGUGACAGCCCCGUACACAAAAAUGCACAUGCUGUGAGCUCGAUGAGUAGGGCGGGACACGUGGUAUCCUGUCUGAAUAUGGGGGGACCAUCCUCCAAGGCUAAAUACUCCUGACUGACCGAUAGUGAACCAGUACCGUGAGGGAAAGGCGAAAAGAACCCCGGCGAGGGGAGUGAAAAAGAACCUGAAACCGUGUACGUACAAGCAGUGGGAGCACGCUUAGGCGUGUGACUGCGUACCUUUUGUAUAAUGGGUCAGCGACUUAUAUUCUGUAGCAAGGUUAACCGAAUAGGGGAGCCGAAGGGAAACCGAGUCUUAACUGGGCGUUAAGUUGCAGGGUAUAGACCCGAAACCCGGUGAUCUAGCCAUGGGCAGGUUGAAGGUUGGGUAACACUAACUGGAGGACCGAACCGACUAAUGUUGAAAAAUUAGCGGAUGACUUGUGGCUGGGGGUGAAAGGCCAAUCAAACCGGGAGAUAGCUGGUUCUCCCCGAAAGCUAUUUAGGUAGCGCCUCGUGAAUUCAUCUCCGGGGGUAGAGCACUGUUUCGGCAAGGGGGUCAUCCCGACUUACCAACCCGAUGCAAACUGCGAAUACCGGAGAAUGUUAUCACGGGAGACACACGGCGGGUGCUAACGUCCGUCGUGAAGAGGGAAACAACCCAGACCGCCAGCUAAGGUCCCAAAGUCAUGGUUAAGUGGGAAACGAUGUGGGAAGGCCCAGACAGCCAGGAUGUUGGCUUAGAAGCAGCCAUCAUUUAAAGAAAGCGUAAUAGCUCACUGGUCGAGUCGGCCUGCGCGGAAGAUGUAACGGGGCUAAACCAUGCACCGAAGCUGCGGCAGCGACACUGUGUGUUGUUGGGUAGGGGAGCGUUCUGUAAGCCUGUGAAGGUGUACUGUGAGGUAUGCUGGAGGUAUCAGAAGUGCGAAUGCUGACAUAAGUAACGAUAAAGCGGGUGA
rnacentral:rRNA from 1 species